AAAAUGUGUACCUGACAAACAGACAGACAGAUAGACAGCCAGACUUGUCGAUCGGACUUCCGGUAUCUGACAAUCACAUUGAAGUAAUUCAGGUCAGACAAAUAGCCCAACUGUGUGUGUGUCAGUAACCCUAAUACCCGAGUACUAACCUUUUCAGACGUGUACUUGUGAACCACCUAGAGGCGACUAAAGGAAAUGAGUGACUCGCUACUCUAAAUAUAGAUCUUGGAUCUCCAUACUUUUGGAUCUCUAUACUUCAUAGUAUCAAGAAACUACCAUUGUGACGAAUUUUAACCAAGGACUUGAAUUCUGAAAGCAUCCAACAUCGACACACAUUUUAUAUACAUCGAAAAUUAUUCCAAAGCUUCCGGAAAUAUGGUAAAUUGGGAAUAAAUCAACUAAGUUGACAUCUUCAUUGCUUUAUCUCAGUCGUCAUAGAUUUUCAACAACAAAUGAGCAACUUUCUUUGAAAAAAAGUCAUAUAAGAUCUUUAAAUCUAAUAGAUUAAAAAUUCGGUCCUACUGAUUUAAUGUUAUGAUCUCCCGUGUAGUCCAAAGUGCUUUUCGAUUUAAAUUGAACAUAUGUUUUCCAAAAUUGUUCUAUACUUAGUAUAGACCCUUUGAAUAAAAUAUUGAAUAAAAUUUAUUUUGAAAAAUAAAAAUACCGAGAUUUCACCUUGUACUCGAUGAUUCAGAAACUCCAAAUCCAGUUCCGGAUAAAUAUAUAUGCAUCUAUGUUCAAUGGAUGACCUGACCUAGCCUCUUUUGUGAGAAGGGCAGAGAACUCACAAGAAACUCCAUAAAAGACUAAAAAUGGGUGUGAAGAUUUUGCAUAGAAACUUGCUGACAAUGGCGGUCGUGUGUAUGAGUAUACUCGAACUGGCCUGCCUGCAGUUGAAUGUCCGAGAAGCAGACAACGAAAAGGAAAGUAUAAUAGUGUCCGCCUGCAAUUUGACCAACGGACGAAACCAGAGCGCUGUUUGCACUUGCCUCCCCAAGGAGAUACUGUGUGGCAAGCGGGAGCCUCCCCUCAGGGUCGUUCCUAGGAACUUCUUGGUCACUGUGGAA
rnacentral:sRNA from 1 species